rnacentral:misc_RNA from 1 species
GAUGAAGAACGCAGUGAAAUGCGAUAAGUAAUGUGAAUUGCAGAAUUCAGUGAAUCAUCGAAUCUUUGAACGCACAUUGCGCCCUAUGGUAUUCCGUAGGGCAUGCCUGUUCGAGCGUCAUUACAACCCUCAAGCUCUGCUUGGUAUUGGGCGUCGUCCCCUAAACGGACGUGCCUCAAAGACCUCGGCGGUGGCGUCUUUGCCUCAAGCGUAGUAAUAUUUUUAUCUCGCUUUGGAGUCGAAGGCGUCGCCCGCCGGACGAAACCUUUAUUUUUUCUAUCAAGGUUGACCUCGGAUCAGGUAGGGAUACCCGCUGAACUUAAGCAUAUCAAUAAGCGGAGGA